rnacentral:rRNA from 1 species
AUUGGACGCUGGCGGCAGGCCUAACACAUGCAAGUCGAGCGGAUGAAGGGAGCUUGCUCCUGGAUUCAGCGGCGGACGGGUGAGUAAUGCCUAGGAAUCUGCCUGGUAGUGGGGGAUAACGUCCGGAAACGGGCGCUAAUACCGCAUACGUCCUGAGGGAGAAAGUGGGGGAUCUUCGGACCUCACGCUAUCAGAUGAGCCUAGGUCGGAUUAGCUAGUUGGUGGGGUAAAGGCCUACCAAGGCGACGAUCCGUAACUGGUCUGAGAGGAUGAUCAGUCACACUGGAACUGAGACACGGUCCAGACUCCUACGGGAGGCAGCAGUGGGGAAUAUUGGACAAUGGGCGAAAGCCUGAUCCAGCCAUGCCGCGUGUGUGAAGAAGGUCCUCGGAUUGUAAAGCACUUUAAGUUGGGAGGAAGGGCAGUAAGUUAAUACCUUGCUGUUUUGACGUUACCAACAGAAUAAGCACCGGCUAACUUCGUG